rnacentral:rRNA from 1 species
AGAUUGAACGCUGGCGGCAGGCCUAACACAUGCAAGUCGAGCGGCAGCACGGGUACUUGUACCUGGUGGCGAGCGGCGGACGGGUGAGUAAUGCCUAGGAAUCUGCCUGGUAGUGGGGGAUAACGCUCGGAAACGGACGCUAAUACCGCAUACGUCCUACGGGAGAAAGCAGGGGACCUUCGGGCCUUGCGCUAUCAGAUGAGCCUAGGUCGGAUUAGCUAGUUGGUGAGGUAAUGGCUCACCAAGGCGACGAUCCGUAACUGGUCUGAGAGGAUGAUCAGUCACACUGGAACUGAGACACGGUCCAGACUCCUACGGGAGCAGCAGUGGGAAUAGUUGGACAAGUGGGACGAAAGCCUGAUCCAGCCAUGCCGCGUGUGUGAAGAAGGUCUUCGGAUUGUAAAGCAACUUUAAGGUGGAGGAAGGCAAGUUACCUAAAUACGUAUUCGUGUUUUGACGUUACCGAACAGUAAUAGACACCGGUACUAACUCUGUACG